UACAAACAGAAAAGGGACAAUUUUGUCUGGAGGCCAGAGAAAGUGUUUGCAAAUUAUGCACUCACAUUUGUGAGGUUUCAGCAAUCACUCGCUAACAACCACCUCUAUAAAUAGCAAAUCCUGGAGGUGACAGCAGUCUUGACAGCAGAGGAGAGCACUGCAGUUUUUUAAAAAUAAAAAGCCUGUCAGUGGCAAGAAAGACUCCGGUAAACCAAAUGGGAAGCUUUUCAGCAAUUGUAGAGACAUUAAAGGGCAACAUACAGAUAAAUAUUUUUGUGCACGUGGCCUUUACCCUGGGAAGUGCUGGAAACACAAAGAACAGUCAAGCAAUCUGUUUGUAAUCCUUUCUCUGAGAAGGAAGCUAUGACCUCCAAUCUACUAAUUUCUGGUUCCUGAGCAGUUUAGAGAAACAUUUCCAAAUAUGUGCUGUCAUUUUUUUUUUUUUUUUUUUUUUUGCUUUUUCCUGGAUUUCCCUUAAAGAUGAUUGUUCAUUUUUAAGGUAGUAAGGUACACUGCAGGAACAGUCCCAGACUAUUUAAAGUUGCACCGUCAAAAUCCUCACACUGUUCCACCUGUGCCAGUCUUGGACAGCAAGCCACCAUGGAAGAACUCUUCUUGUAAGCAUGAGCUCCGAUCCCUGUGAACCCCAUUGAAAGCACCUAGAAGGUACCCUGGAUUAAAAUCUUGGUAAAAUG